UCGAGAAUCUUCCGCAAUGGGCGCAAGCCUGACGGAGCGAUGCCGCGUGAGGGAUGAAGGCCUUCGGGUUGUAAACCUCUGUCGCCUGGGACGAAUAAAUGACGGUACCAGGAGAGGAAGCUACGGCUAACUACGUGCCAGCAGCCGCGGUAAUACGUAGGUAGCGAGCGUUAUUCGGAUUUACUGGGCGUAAAGGGUCCGCAGGAGGCUUGACAAGUCUGAUGUGAAAUCCCAGGGCUCAACCUUGGAAGUGCAUUGGAAACUGUCGAGCUAGAGUGCAUGAGGGGUAAGCAGAAUUCCAGGUGUAGCGGUGGAAUGCGUAGAUAUCUGGAGGAAUACCGAUGGCGAAGGCGGCUUACUGGCAUGCAACUGACUCUCAGGGACGAAAGCGUGGGUAGCAAACAGG
rnacentral:rRNA from 1 species